UUCUUUUAGAAUUAAAAUAUUUUAUCAACUAAGGUAUUUUAAUAAUUUUCUUUGGGGAAAAAAUCCAUCGAGUGGAUGCACCUAAUCGCAACGCGGCCAAUUCACACAUAGCUCGUCGCAAAGCCCAUUGCGCCUGUACGGACCGAGGACUCCCCCUGUAUAGGGUCAGGAGCGAAAGGGAAAAACAUUAAGGGCUUCCUUGAUCUCUGUAUGCGAAGAUCACUGACUAAACAACACAAAACCCUACCCCAAGGAAGAAGACGACGAGGAAACAACGCAGCUUAAUAGGAAAGUUUUUCUCAUCUCCUUUUGUUUCUUUUAUUGCUUUUUUUUGCCAUUUCUCGUUUGGGAUACACAACAAAACAAGAAAGAAAAUUAAAACCGGAAAAAAAAAAAAGGAAAAGGAAAAGGUCCUCCUUUCUUCUCCUCUGAGAUUCGAUUUCGAUACAAAGUUAGGGUUAGGGUUUGUAGCUUGGGAAGGGGAGUGGUAGCGCAAGCAAUGAGUCGACCGAGUACGCGCAGCAGCAAGAAUAAAAGACAUCGGGCGGACGACAAUGCUGCAACUACUUGCCAAAUAUACAGGAAAAUUCAUUCGACGGGGGAGGUGACCAAGGACGAUGCGAAUCAGUUGUAUAUGAUUUGGAAGCCUAUUUGUCAAGGUUGUCGAGUGAAUACAAAAGAUAACCCCAACUGUUUUUGUGGUCUCAUUCCGCCUCCCAAUGGAAGCCGAAAGUCCGGGUUAUGGCAGAAAAUGUCCGACGUGGUUCUGGCACUCGGUCCUGAUCCUUUCAAGGAUCUCCGAGCUUCGUCGGAGUAUUCCCCCGCGGGCCUCACCAACCUUGGCGCCACUUGCUACGCCAACAGCAUUCUCCAAUGCCUGUACAUGAACAAGACUUUCAGACGAGGUCUUUUCUCUGUUGAACCGGGUCUUUUGAAACAAUAUCCAGUUCUUGAUCAACUUGCCAGGCUUUUUGCACAGCUGCACGCCAGUAAACUGGCUUUUAUAGACUCUGCUCCCUUUAUUAAAACGCUAGAGUUAGAUAAUGGCGUUCAACAGGAUAGCCAUGAGUUUCUUACCUUACUUCUUUCUUUGCUUGAGCGAUGUCUCAGCCAUUCUCAAGUUUCAAGAGCCAGAACCAUUGUUCAGGACCUUUUCCGAGGAAGUGUGUCGCAUGUCACCACGUGCUCAAAAUGCGGAAAAGAUUCUGAAGCUUCCUCGAAUAUGGAAGAUUUUUAUGAACUGGAGUUGAAUGUCAAGGGUUUGAAAAGUUUAGACGAGAGUUUAAAUGAUUACCUUAGUGUGGAAGAGCUUCAUGGAGAUAACCAAUAUUUUUGUGAGUCAUGUGGAACAAGAGUUGACGCCACCCGUAGCAUUAAGUUACGCACACUGCCUUAUGUCCUUAAUUUCCAGCUCAAGCGCUGUGUUUUCCUUCCAAAGACUACAACAAAGAAGAAAAUCACUUCUGCAUUCUGUUUUCCUGGAGAAUUGGAUAUGAGAGAGAGGCUAUCUGAACCUUCUGAUUUGGAACUAAUAUAUGACUUGUCAGCUGUGCUGAUUCACAAGGGGACUACUGUGAACAGUGGCCAUUACAUAGCUCAUAUUAAGGAUGAGAAUACAGGGCAAUGGUGGGAAUUUGAUGAUGAGCAUGUCUCAAACCUGGGUCAUCACCCAUUUGGAGAGGGGUCUUCAAGUUCUGCUGCUAAACCUGUUCAAACUGAGCCAUCUGUUCAUCUGUCUUCCACUGAACCGAUGAAUGGUGUCAUAAAUGGAAAUCAUAUAAAUAUUGGUCAGCUACAAUCUUCAGAAUGUAGUAUUGUUAGUGGUUCACAGACAUACUCAUCUGGUGAUGCAUACAUGUUGAUGUAUAAUCUUAGGCGUACCACCAAGAGUGGUGAAGUUAGACAAACUGUAUCUGGUGCCAACCAUAUGGAAAUAGAAGGAGAUAUAAUUUAUUCAGACAAUGAUGCUGCUCUUCCAGCUCAUCUUUAUGAAGAGAUAAAAGAACUAAAUGCCUCGUAUCUUGAUGCUUGUCAACAAUACAAAUCAAAGAAGGAAAGAGAGUUGGAUUGUAUCACAGAACGGAGGCAGGAAGUGCGAUCGGUUCUUUCUGAAGGCCCUGUUCUAUCACUUGAGGAUCCAUAUUUUUGGAUUUCUACAGACUGGCUUCGCCUGUGGGCUGACAACAUCACUCCACCUGUUCUUGACAACACCCCUAUCCAGUGCUUGCAUGGAAAAGUCCCAGUAUCAAAAGUUGGUUCCAUGAAGCGCUUGUCAUCUAAAGCUUGGAACAUGUUGUUCUCUAAGUAUGGAGGGGGACCUGCACUGUCAAAUGAUGACUACUGCAUCAAUUGCCUUGUGGAAGGGGCUAGCACUAUGGUUUCUGCUGAUAACUAUAGGGAUCGGCGAAAAGUAAUGAAAGAACUUGCUGAUGCAGUACACUCAGGGAAGUGUCUAGAUGGAAAUUUGUACUAUGUUUCAAAAUCAUGGUUCCAACAGUGGGCACGCAGAAAAAUCAUUGACUCACCAUGCGAUGCUGAUGCAGGACCAACAGCUUCAAUUAGAUGCCCUCAUGGGAAACUUAUGCCUGAGCAAGCUCCUGGUGCUAAGCGUUUGCUGGUUCCUGAAAAUCUCUGGCUCUUCUUCUGUGAAAGUGCUAACACAGUCAAACCUGAUGAUACCUUGGGCUGUUCAGUUUUUCCUUCAGAUGUGGAACCAUGUGCUACAUGCAGUAUGGAGCUUACGGAAGUGGCAAGCAUAGAAGAUACACUAAGAGAAUUCAAGCUCAAACAGCGUCAGAAUCAUGAAAAAAUAGCAUUGGGAAAAGGUUUUGCACUUUCUUCACAUUGCAAGUAUUAUUUGCUGCCCUCUUCAUGGCUGUCAACAUGGAGAAGCUACAUCAAUGCAAAUGGAAAGAAUGUUUCAUCAUCAGUGCAACCUGAAAUGUUAGAUAGUGUCAUUGAUAUGAUGAAAUGUGGAAAACAUUCAAGGCUUCUGGAAAGACCUCUUGAACUGAUUUGCAAACGUGGCACGAUUUUCCAAAGGUUUUCUGCUACAGAUGGGUUAACAAUCAUAACUAAGGAUGAUUGGAAAUUCUUCUGUGAGGAGUGGGGCUGUACUGAAGAGAUGGGCAUCUCCGCUGAAAUUGAGUUCAGUAACUGUGUGGCAAAUAAUUUAGCUGGGUCCUGCGAAGAAAUGCCAAUUAUUGAGGAGCAUAUGAGUCCUCAUGAUGAAGUGAAUGAGGAAAUUGAGUCUAGACAACCUGUGAUUAAGACUUCUCCUGAGGUAUGUGAGGUUUGCAUUGGAGAAAGAGAAAGCUGUGAGUUAAUGCAAAAACUUAACUAUUGCAACGAGGAUAUACGUGUCUGCUUUGUACGUGGUAAGGAAGCUCCUAAAUCAAUUUUAGAAGCAUCUGGGACCAUUUCUGAGCCAGAUCGCCGAAUCUCUAAGCGCUCUCGAAAGACAAAUUUUGGAAAUUCGAUAAAUCUGAAAGUUUCUGGGUCCACAUCAAUCUACCAGUUAAAAAUGAUGAUAUGGGAAUCCUUUGGGGUAAUUAAGGAAAACCAGAUACUUCACAAGGGUUCUACAGUAAUUGAUGGUGAAACUUCCACUCUUGCUGACAUGAAUAUAUUUCCUGGAGAUCUUCUUUGGGUGAAAGAUUCAGAGAUCCAUGAGUAUCGGGAUAUUGCAGAUGAGCUCUCUGACCAUAAAAUGGAGGUGCAACAGGCUGAGGAAGGGUUCCGGGGAACGCUUUUGACAUCAAAUAUCUCGUCCCAGGUUGUCUAAGAAGUAUGCUUUUGUCAAUAAGGGACUGCAUGUAACAUUCUACCUUUUGUAGUUAUAUGAUACUGGGAGAGGCAUCUAUUGAAGCUUCAAGUCAUUUUUUGAAGGUGUGAAUUGGGAUGGCUUGUCUUGGCAACGAUGCUGAUGAAUGUACAGCUUAUCAGUAAAAAUGUAUGGGUUAUUUCCUGGGGUUUGAUUGCUACCAGCUUGUUGCGGUCCCCCACUUCUCCAAUCAAGGAGUUGGUUUUCAGGUUGUUGGAUGCUUUGUAGAUUCCUUGAUAUGAUCUUCUUGACUUUUGUUCUGUGUAAUAGGCCUUCGUCUAGGCUGUUGAACUCCUUGACAUGAGGAGCUGCUUAUUUUUGUGAAACUAUCUAAUGCUGUUUUGCCUAUAGCUGCCCCUUCGAAAGUGGCUCAAAGAAAUCCUAGAUUUACUUCAUGCUGUGAAAUUUUUGGAUCUUGUUUUAAUUGAGAUUCAGCCUUCAAUGGA